ensembl:lncRNA
CUCCUGCUUCUCCCAUGCUUGGCUUAACUCUAGGUAUUUCCCUAAUUAUCCACUACACCCAGAUAAGAAACUUGAUGCAAUUUUCUCUCUAAAAAGGCAAGAAAGAUAAGGGUUUUGAAAUGAACGGUUAACAUCACUUAUUGCCUCCAGUAAAAUUAAUUUGCGGUCUUUGUGAGGCAGAUGUGAAGAAUCUAAAAAAGUCUUUUGUUACAUUGGGAAAAAGAUUUUUAUCUGAAGGUGUGUAUCUUUUGCAAAAAAUAAAAAAUACCAUGCCAGAGUAUAGUGAUGUUCUCUGAUGGACCAUACCAACACCAUACAGACAUAGAACAAAAAAUUGCACUUGCAUGGUACUCUGAGGUACUUUAAGAAUACCACAGCAUUACCAUGAUACAAGUCAGGAAAAGUGGUGUAGCAGUAUACAUGCAAUUUGAAUCACUUCCAUGUUGGCUGUUUUAGGUUUUACAAUUUAUUAGGCCUAUGCAACCCUUUAUUUGUGCAUUUACUUGCCACCCAAGGAGAGUGAACUUAAUUAAGUCAUUUUAUGAAAUCAUUAGUCAUGUGUAAUCAUUUCAAAAUGCCUUUGAAGGAUGUUUUAUUAAAACCCAUUUCCUAUGACGUCCUCCAUUUGGCUUUUGUCUCUGUCUGAUGUUUCUCAUAUCACUAAAUUAAGUAAUUUGCUUUACAGUAUGUGGGGAAGGAAGUGUAAAGGGUUGCUGCCACAUGAAACAAGGAUGGGUCAAACAGACCGCAUCAAAUUCUUGCAAAAUAAAGUGCAGUCUGGCGUGAGGUGGAAUCCAUAAGCUUCACAAACUCCAAAGAAGGACUGUAAUUCUCCAGUCCUAAUAUUCCUUGCUCUUCUGAAAUGAAACUCCCCACUGUUUAUCCCUGACUGGCUCGGCCAGUCUUCAACAUCAUCCCUUCAUACCGCUCUCAUUAUAGUCUCAGCCCACUCCGCUUUCACAGAGACGCUCCAGCAUCCAGCAGUGUGUGUGUGUGUGUGUGCUGGAGGAAACUGGCAGUAAUCCUGAAAAAAGUUCCUCAACUCUGAGCCUUACUGUAAUCAAAU